rnacentral:rRNA from 1 species
AAAUUGAAGAGUUUGAUCAUGGCUCAGAUUGAACGCUGGCGGCAGGCCUAACACAUGCAAGUCGAACGGUAACAGGAAACAGCUUGCUGUUUCGCUGACGAGUGGCGGACGGGUGAGUAAUGUCUGGGAAACUGCCUGAUGGAGGGGGAUAACUACUGGAAACGGUAGCUAAUACCGCAUAACGUCGCAAGACCAAAGAGGGGGACCUUCGGGCCUCUUGCCAUCAGAUGUGCCCAGAUGGGAUUAGCUAGUAGGUGGGGUAACGGCUCACCUAGGCGACGAUCCCUAGCUGGUCUGAGAGGAUGACCAGCCACACUGGAACUGAGACACGGUCCAGACUCCUACGGGAGGCAGCAGUGGGGAAUAUUGCACAAUGGGCGCAAGCCUGAUGCAGCCAUGCCGCGUGUAUGAAGAAGGCCUUCGGGUUGUAAAGUACUUUCAGCGGGGAGGAAGGGAGUAAAGUUAAUACCUUUGCUCAUUGACGUUACCCGCAGAAGAAGCACCGGCUAACUCCGUGCCAGCAGCCGCGGUAAUACGGAGGG